rnacentral:rRNA from 1 species
AUUGAACGCUGGCGGCAUGCUUUACACAUGCAAGUCGAACGGCAGCGCGGGCUUCGGCCUGGCGGCGAGUGGCGAACGGGUGAGUAAUGCAUCGGAACGUGCCCAGUAGUGGGGGAUAGCCCGGCGAAAGCCGGAUUAAUACCGCAUACGACCUGAGGGUGAAAGCGGGGGACCGAAAGGCCUCGCGCUAUUGGAGCGGCCGAUGUCGGAUUAGCUAGUUGGUGGGGUAAAGGCUUACCAAGGCGACGAUCCGUAGCUGGUCUGAGAGGACGACCAGCCACACUGGGACUGAGACACGGCCCAGACUCCUACGGGAGGCAGCAGUGGGGAAUUUUGACAAUGGGGGCAACCCUGAUCCAGCCAUGCCGCGUGCGGGAAGAAGGCCUUCGGGUUGUAAACCGCUUUUGUUCGGGAAGAAAUCCUCUGGGCUAAUACCCCGGGGGGAUGACGGUACCGGAAGAAUAAGCACCGGCUAACUACGUG